CANUGGAGGAACUCUGAUGCANCGAUGCCNCGCUGAGGGAAGAAGGUUUUANUGAUUGUAAACCUCUGUCUUCNNGGGACCAAAAAAAAGACNGUACCUGAGGAGGAAGCUCCCGCUAACUACCUGCCNGCNGCCNCNGUAAUACCUAGGGAGCNAGCNUUGUCCNGAAUUACUGGGUGUAAAGGGAGCNUAGACCGCAAGGCAAGUCUGAUGUGAAAACCCNGGGCUUAACCCUGGGACUGCNUUGGAAACUGUCUGGCUCCAGUGCCCGAGAGGUAAGCCGAAUUCCUAGUGUAGCGGUGAAAUGCCUANAUAUUAGGAAGAACACCAGUGGCCAAGGCNGCUUACUGGACNGUAACUGACCUUGAGGCUCCAAAGCGUGGGGAGCAAACAGGAUUAGAUACCCUGGUAGUCCAAGGGCGAAUUC
rnacentral:rRNA from 1 species